rnacentral:lncRNA from 1 species
CGCCUUUUCAUUUUAUAGAUCGUUUAUCGAAGCUAGAAAAAAAAUAAUUACACCACUGGAUUCAGUACCUUGAAUUGUUUUGUCAGACAUGCAUAAUUGUUAUGAUAAAAAUAUAUUUAAAAAGUUAUACAAUGAAACAUACUGAACUUGCAAUGCUUUUCUCGAUAACACCUGAUUAACAGACUUUAGCCAACCCGAUUAACAGACCAAUCGCC